CGGUAAAUAGACGGUCAGUACCCUGCUUUGGGAGCAGGGGGUCGUAGGUUCAAAUCCUAUCACCCCGA
rnacentral:tRNA from 2 species